UACAGAGGUCCCGAGCGUUGUUCGGAUUCAUUGGGCGUAAAGGGUGCGUAGGCGGCGGGGUAAGUUUGAUGUGAAAUCCCGGGGCUCAACCCUGGAAUGGCAUUGAAUACUACCUUGCUAGAGUACCGGAGAGGAAACUGGAAUUUACGGUGUAGCAGUGAAAUGCGUAGAGAUCGUAAGGAAGACCAGUGGCGAAGGCGAGUUUCUGGACGGUAACUGACGCUGAGGAGCGAAAGCGUGGGGAGCAAACAGG
rnacentral:rRNA from 1 species